GCCAAGACAGCCAGGAGGUUGGCUUAGAAGCAGCCAUCCUUUAAAGAAAGCGUAAUAGCUCACUGGUCGAGUCGGUCCGCGCGGAAGAUUUAACGGGGCUAAGUAAUGUACCGAAGCUACGGAUGUAAAUUUAUUUACAUGGUAGAGGAGCGUUCUGUAAGUCUGUGAAGGUGAAUCGUAAGGUUUGCUGGAGAUAUCAGAAGUGCGAAUGCUGACAUAAGUAACGAUAAUGCGGGUGAAAAACCCGCACGCCGAAAACCCAAGGUUUCCUGCGCAACGCUAAUCGGCGCAGGGUUAGUCGGUACCUAAGGCGAGGCCGAAAGGCGUAGUCGAUGGAAAACAGGUUAAUAUUCCUGUACCACUAAAUACUGCGAUGGGGGGACGGAGAAGGCUAGGUGAUCAGGGUGAUGGUUAUCCCUGUAUAAGCUUGUAGAAAGAUUUCUUAGGAAAAUCCGGGAAAUUAAUUUCGAGAAGUGAUGUCGAGCUCAAUUGCGAGCGAAGUCAUUGAUGCCAUGCUUCCAAGAAAAGCCUCUAAGCUCUAGGUAUAUAGUGGCCGUACUCUAAACCGACACAGGUGAUCAGGUAGAGAAUACUAAGGCGCUUGAGAGAACUCUGGUGAAGGAACUAGGCAAAAUGGUACCGUAACUUCGGGAGAAGGUGCGCCCUUGUCGGUGAUUAGACUUGCUCUAUGAGCUAAUGAGGGUCGCAGUGACCUGGUGGCUGCAACUGUUUAUUAAAAACACAGCACUCUGCAAACACGUAAGUGGACGUAUAGGGUGUGACGCCUGCCCGGUGCCGGAAGGUUAAUUGAUGGGGUUAGCUUCGGCGAAGCUCUUGAUUGAAGCCCCGGUAAACGGCGGCCGUAACUAUAACGGUCCUAAGGUAGCGAAAUUCCUUGUCGGGUAAGUUCCGACCUGCACGAAUGGCGUAACGAUGGCCACACUGUCUCCACCAUAGACUCAGUGAAAUUGAAAUCGCUGUUAAGAUGCAGUGUACCCGCGGCUAGACGGAAAGACCCCGUGAACCUUUACUAUAGCUUCACAGUGG
rnacentral:rRNA from 1 species